rnacentral:pre_miRNA from 1 species
UGCCUUUUCGUUGUUCGCGUCGGGUUCACCAGCUAGGUGGUUCGCCAUGAAGUACAGGAAGGGGGUCGCCGGCGAGUCCAACGAUGACGAC